CACCGGCGGCCCGAGUGGUAACCGUUUUUAUUGGGUCUAAAGGGUCCGUAGCCGGCCUGAAAAGUCCUUUGGGAAAUCUGACAGCUUAACUGUCAGGCUUCUAAGGGAUACUGUCAGGCUUGGGACCGGGAGAGGUAAGGGGUACUCCAAGGGUAGGAGUGAAAUCUUGUAAUCCCUGGGGGACCAUCUGUGGCGAAGGCGCCUUACCAGAACGGGUCCGACGGUGAGGGACGAAAGCUAGGGGAGCAAACCGGAUUAGAUACCCGGGUAGUCCUAGCUGUAAACGAUGCUCGCUAGGUGUCAGACACGGUGCGACCGUGUUUGGUGCCGCAGGGAAGCCGUUAAGCGAGCCACCUGGGAAGUACGGUCGCAAGGCUGAAACUUAAAGGAAUUGGCGGGGGAGCACUACAACGGGUGGAGCCUGCGGUUUAAUUGGAUUCAACGCCGGGAACCUCACCAGGGGUGACAGCAUAAUGAUAGUCAGCUUGAAGAGCUUACUUGAAGCGCUGAGAGGUAUUGCAUGGCCGACGUCAGUUCGUGCCGCGAGGUGUCCUGUUAAGUCAGGUAAACGAACGAGACCCGUACCCUAUGUUGCUAACUGUUUCCUCGGAAGCAGUGCACUCAUAGGGGACCGCUGGUGACAAAUCAGAGGAAGGAACGGUCAACGUUAGGUCAGUAUGGUCCGAAUCCCUUGGGCUACACGCGGGCAACAAUGUUAGGUACAAUAGGAUGCAACACCGAAAGGUGAAGCUAAUCCCGUGAAACCCUAACUUAGUACAGAUGAGGCUUGCAAGCUCAGCCUCAUGACGCCGGAAUCCCUAGUAGUCGAACCGUUAGCACCGUUCGGCGAAUACGUCCCUGCUCCUUGCACACACCGCCCGUCAGA
rnacentral:rRNA from 1 species